rnacentral:rRNA from 1 species
UACGUAGGCAGCGAGCGUUGUUCGGAAUUACUGGGCGUAAAGGGUGCGUAGGCGGUUUUGUAAGUCUUGUGUGAAAUCUUCAGGCUCAACUUGAAGACUGCACGAGAAACUGCAGGGCUUGAGUGUGGGAGAGGUGAGUGGAAUUCCUGGUGUAGCGGUGAAAUGCGUAGAUAUCAGGAGGAACACCUGUGGCGAAAGCGGCUCACUGGACCACAACUGACGCUGAUGCACGAAAGCUAGGGGAGCAAACAGG